AACCGGGGCCGGCUGCUGUGCAUGCUGCUGCUGACCUUCAUGUUCAUGGUGCUGGAGGUGGUGGUGAGCCGGGUGACCUCGUCGCUGGCGAUGCUCUCCGACUCCUUCCACAUGCUGUCGGACGUGCUGGCGCUGGGGUGGCGCUGGUGGCCGAGCGCUUCGCCCGGCGGACCCAGGCCACCCAGAAGAACACGUUCGGCUGGAUCCGGGCCGAGGUGAUGGGGGCUCUGGUGAACGCCAUCUUCCUGACCGGCCUCUGCUUCGCCAUCCUGCUGGAGGCCAUCGAGCGCUUCAUCGAGCCGCACGAGAUGCAGCAGCCGCUGGUGGUCCUCGGGGUCGGCGUGGCGGGGCUGCUGGUCAACGUGCUGGGGCUCUGCCUCUUCCACCAUCACAGCGGCUUCAGCCUGGACUCCGGCCACGGCCACUCGCACGGGGGGCACGGCCACGGCCUCCCCAAGGGGG